UACGUAGGGUGCAAGCGUUAAUCGGAAUUACUGGGCGUAAAGCGUGCGCAGGCGGUUUUGUAAGUCUGUCGUGAAAUCCCCGGGCUCAACCUGGGAAUUGCGUUGGAGACUGCAAGGCUGGAGUCUGGCAGAGGGGGGUAGAAUUCCACGUGUAGCAGUGAAAUGCGUAGAGAUGUGGAGGGACACCGAUGGCGAAGGCAGCCCCCUGGGUCAAGACUGACGCUCAUGCACGAAAGCGUGGGGAGCAAACAGG
rnacentral:rRNA from 1 species